rnacentral:lncRNA from 1 species
CAGCUGCGCAGCUUCAUCGGUGGAGUAUGUGGACGACAUCACAGAGCUGGUCCGGGGGAAAUACUGCCUGUAUCCCAGCAGUGAGAAGUGUCAGCACUGCUUUCUCAUGGACUUGGCUUCAGAACGACCUCAGCUGCACAUUAGUCGGCAUCCUGUGUGUGUCUGGAGUCGGCGGUACUUUAAGACGUUCCUCAGCGCCUUCCUUCUGACCGUCACGCUGGGAAUCUGCAUGCUAGCCGCCGUCAGACAGCUGCUGAGAGCCAGAAACUGCUCGUGGCAGUCCAACCCUGAGCAACAGUUUGAGCGCAGCCCUAAGGACUCGUCAUACAUCCCCACGACCAACGAGAAGACGAUCCCGUACAGGAGCGACGGUCUCCCGAAUCAGCCGGUGGAGAUGCACUCACACAUGCCCAAGAUGCCCCUGAGCCACGCCUGGCAGUGAUAUGAGGGUCAAAGGUCGCUCUAGAAACGAAGCACUAACUGAAUGAAAACACAAUCUUUCUCUUUAAGCACUUACUUCACAAGAGCAAUAGCCUGUGUGGGUUUUCUGAGGCUGUUUUUCAUUCCUUUUCAUUCUGUUUCUAAUUUAUGAUGUUGAAUGGCAUUAAAUCUCUGGUCCUGAAGCCACACAGAAAGAGACGGUGCGGUUAAACCCUUACUGAUGUGGUUUAGCAGGCCAGUUUUCUGCUGAGGUACUGUUUGUUUGUGUCUGUGAGCGGAUGUUAGAGUGUGUUUGUGAUAUCUUUACUUGUCGUACAAAACACUACAGACUCUGCUAUGUUCAGGAUAGCAUACUGUGCAUACUAUUUCUUCAGUAUACAUGCAGAAAAUGCACCGAUGACGGCAAAGAGCACUGUCCCACAAUGCAAUGGGCUUGAUGCUUCUAGUAUAAUGAUGC